AUCAGGGACGGCUGGGC
rnacentral:miRNA from 1 species